CAGGUGGGGACGCACCCUCCGGUCUAGUCCCACUCUGGCCUCAUCACAGCAGCUCUCUGCUAUAUGGCCAACUCACCCACUGUGCCCUGACCCACCCAGGCCCUGGCAGCCGAAGGCCCAGAAGUGUACGCCUGUUGUGUGUUCCUGUAGCGUGCACCCCGAGUGUGUGUUCCCAUAGCGUGUGCCCGCGGUGGGUGUUACUCUUGUACACACCCCUGGUGUGCAUUCUGACAAGUGUACCCAAGAGUGCACUCCUGCACUGUGUCUGCCUGUUGGAGGCUCUAUCAGUCCCCUCUCCCCUAUCUGGGCCUCACAGGGACGGUAAACUUUGGGAAGGUAUCAGAUAGAUGCAGGGUCCUGGGAGGAGGUGGGGUGUAUUGGGGUGGGGCUGGGCGCCCAGUUCUGGGUGAGAGCUGGCAGGGGGAAGGGGUCAGGGAGGGCAGAUGGGCAUGGUGGCAGGUACGUGGCAGGGCGGGUCCCAGGCCCCAACCCUGGGAGAGCCCCAUUCCUGAACUGCGCCCCCUGCCGGGGCAGACCAGGGCCAUAUUGGCCCCCGGCUGAUACCUCAUUCACAUCCUCCGGGACUCGAGCCCACGCUGGCCACCAGAUUGAAUGAGCUGAGAGGCCAACUGAUGAGAUGUUGUGGAAACAGAUUCUCCAGGUAAUUGGACAAUGGGUGUUUGUUGGUGGUCUCGAUGGAGGGGGUAGGGGAUGCCCACCUGCGAGGGAGAGGUUGCUGUCUGAAUCCCUUCAGUGGGGGGAGGGGGUUCUGCAUGCUGGGUGGGUUUUCAGGUAAACAGAGCCUCCAGAGGCCGACAUCAUCAGCCUCCGGUGUGGGGCUCCCUGGGGCAGGGGCCAAGGGAGGUGGGCUUCAGAUGGAAAUAUAGACAGGAUGAGCUCCCAGAGCCCUCAGUUCCAGCAGGCCAGCCUUGACCAAGGAUGGAUUCCUAAGGCAUGAUUACAGGGCCCAGGAUCCCACCCAUCGGAGGAUCUGCCUGGAUGCUCACCUUGGCAGUGGGCUCUGGUGCCCCUCCCUGGUGUCCCCCUGAUGUCUGGAGCCAGGGCGGGAUUCCAUGGUCCCUUAAAUUCCCAUUGUGGCACGUGCCAUGCAGCAGGGUGACUCCCUAUGGUCAGCAUUAUAAGCCGGGGACUGGUCUCAAGCUGACAGCGUCCAAUGGGGCCCCUAUCGUGUGGGAUCCCCUCGGGGACAUACCCUUAAUGCAAGCUGUGCACCCAGGACCUCAAGCUCUCAGGUGGACCGGCCCCUCCCCUGGCCUUGGUUUCUUGCCUUUGAAAGGGACCCAGGGCGCUCCCAGGUGCUGUGUCAGCUGGAAAUUUUAAGGGGGAACGUAGCUUGUGUUCGGAGGUGGGGGUAAUGGAAAGGUGGGGAGGGGGAGCUUCAACUCCCUACUGCCACGCAAGCCCUUUUAGUGAUUAGACACCAUGGGGCUGGGAAUCCUAUUAGUCCCGGUUCUGUGAGCAAGUGCUUUCCCCUACCAAACCUCAUUUUCACCCCCCGUAAGAUAGGAAAACAAAAUAGCCUCCUAGGUGGAUUCAGUAGACCUCUGUCGGCCCUCCAUCCACCUGGGCGCUGGGUGCAUUCAGGAGGCUGCUCCUGCUCGCUUGGCCUACGCUGGGCCUCAGUUUCCCCACUGCAUGCAGCUUGGCGUGCUGGAACUGCUCAGCCCUGGGUCCAGUGCCCUCCUUCCCUGACAGGUGACCUUGCCUGUUAUCGAGCUGGCCUGCCCCUGCAGCUACUGCCCCGAGAAGAUCAAUAAGGAGUGGGGCCUUGAGGGGCAUGACCGGCAGUGGGGGCUGGCAGCCAUACCCCUGGGAGAGGCAGGCCCUUUCACGAGUGGGCUGCCCCUCUCCUCCCCCCGCCCCCCGGAGCCAAGGAAGGGGGCAGGGAAACGCCAAGGGCAUGCACAUGGUCUAGAAGUUGGGAGGUGAAUGUGAGCGAGAAGUGAAGACUGAGGAGGGGACCAAUGGACGGUGGGGGGUGAGCCCAUCACUGGUGGAGGGCUGGCAGGGCUGGGGAGCAGGCACGGGACAGGAAAGAGAGAGUACAGCACUGCUGGGGUGCCCUGACCCCUCUAAGAUGUGUCAAUGCCACCAGCCCCCCACCCCCUCCCAGAGCUAUUUCUGGCCUUGGUGUGCUGAGCUGUGGCCUCUUGUUCUGCCGUGUAACUGCGGUCUGUGACGUGACCCUUCUGGGGACGUUCUUGGUGCUCGAGAGGGUCCUGAGCUGACCAGUGUCCUGGUUGUGCCCCAGCUGUGUAACCUCCCCUCUCUCAGCUUACUCACCCCGGUCUUCUGGGAGUGAGGGGGGCGGCAAGCAGCCACUCAGAGCCUCCCUGGAGAUGUCCCUUCCCAGCCACAGAUGGCCCAGGAGGGAGCUAUGUACCCCUGGUGCCUGCCUACACCCUCGCAGCCUGGGCUCCAUCCCUGGCUUGGCUGGAUGUGGCCCCUUCUUUUGCCCAUCCUUCCUCCUGGACCAUCUCCAGGUUGGAGCAAUCCGGGGCUUAACUGCUCUCUACCUCAGUCUCCUAAUCUGUAAAAUGGGCUUGUGAUAUUAUAAAGAAAAUGGAUUCUUAGGCAGCUCUGACUCAUGCCUUCUAUGCCAACUGGUAGAAUCUCAUGUGGCCCCCUGGAAUAGGGUGUUUCUGCCACCCUAUUGCCACAAGGAGAACCAAGGGCACUGAGCAAACAAGGUGGCCAGUCCUGUGCUGUAUCUAUGACCUCAUGGGGUGGGGGCGGCAGGCGGCAACAGAAGGGUCCCCGAGGACCUGGGGGGAGCCGCACACCCCAGCCCAGGCUAGGAGACCCCCGAGAGAAGUAAAGGCAAGGAAGCAGAGACCUCCCCUGCACCUAUAGCCUCUGGCAAUCUCCGCUCCCAAGCUGCUGACCUCAGCAGCUGCCUGUCCGCCCGCCCACUGGCUCCUGCGGCUGCUGGUGAGUCCCCAGAAGUCUCCCGCCCCUCCUGGCUCCUCUCCCUACUCCUCCCCUUCCUUCCCCCCACACCCUGCAGUGCCCAUGAAGGAGAACCUGGGCCCUUUGCUGCCCUGGCGCAGGGGCAGCAAUGCAGGUGCUCUUUGGGACCACACCCAGACCUGAUGGGAUUUAGGCCACAUGGCCUCGUUAGUGGUCAUUCCUGCUUUGUCCAGCUGCCCUAGUGGGAGAGGCCCUGAGCAGAAGCCAGUCACUGCCUCCCCCCCCCACAGCCUCCCAGGCAGAAAUGGCCAGUCCUUCCCCAGUGGUGGCCUUUGUGCCAUCAGCACUGCUCCUGUGGCAGAACUGAGCUAAGGGAGAAGUCCCUCCCAUGAACCCAUGGGUAGGGCACUGGAGAAGCCCCCUAACCUGACAGGGCCAUUCUGAGGUGAGGACUAAGGAAAAGAGGAGGCCCGAGUCAGCCCCAGGGAAGUCAGGAAAAGGACCGGCUCCAGUCUGUGCGAGGCUCAGGGGGCCAGGCGGCCUGGUGCGGGAGUGUGCCUUUGCUGUGAGUGAACCAGGGCUGGGGCAGGGCUGUUUUCUUGUCAUGUGCUUGGAGGCGAGCUGGUAUUGAAUGCUCUCUGAGAGCAGGAGCCCAGUGAGGCUGGGUACAAGUGGGAGGUGGGACUGAGGGGAUGGGCUAGGAGGACAGGUUAGGGGACAGGAUCGGGAGACCAGAUGGCAGGGGCACUUUUUAGGGUUCGGAGGGGGUUAGAUGAGUGACUGGGUCCAGCCCCUGGGGUGGGGUCAGGGAUCACCAUCCCGAAACCUGGCAGGGCCUCCUGUGUCCCUAGGGCCCCUGCCGUGAGUAGGAACACAGGCCGCAAAGUUGAGUUUGAUUAUCUCAUAAAAAGAUGCCCCCUCUGCUUGCUCAGCGGAGGGGUUGCCAUGGAGACCAGCAGGCAGGCCCCAAGGGGGGCCAGACUGGAGCCAAUUACCGAGGCUGCAGC